CCAGGGACUGAAUCUGAGCUGCAGCUGUGACCUAUGCCACAACUGUGGCAAUGCCAGAUCCUUUGACCCACUGUGCCAGGCAGGGGAUCAAAUCCAAGCCUCCACAGAGACAAUAGCAACUGUAGUCAGGUUCUUACCCCACUGUGCCACAUUCGUGCUUUUUUUUUGCUUUUUUUUGGGGGGGGCAAACCUGCAGCAUAUGGAAAUUCAAAGCUAGGGGUUGGAUUGGAGCUGCAGCAGACAGCCAUGCCGGAUAGGAGCCACAGCUCAAAGCAACACUGGAUUCUUAACCCACUAAUUGGGGCCAGGGAUGGAACGGGUUCAUUACUGCUGAGCCACAGUAGGAACUCCUUAUUUGCAUCAUUUAACAGCUAAAGUUCCCAGUGUUGUUAAAAUGAAGAGUUACCUUUUAUUCCGACAAAUUCUAGGGUCACUGAGAGGGCAGGAAGGGAAGAGACUGCUGAUGAGUUUUGGAGAGGUGCAGAAGUCGCUGCAUUCCCCUGCCUGGUGGAAAUGCCAGCUCCCACACGCAGAACCACUAAAGGCAUCUAACUGACUCUCUCUCUCUGGGGCUUCAAAAACUAACUUCUGCCUGUUGUUCUUAUUGUCAGAGUCAAAAAAAGGAAGAAUAGGAGCUAGCGGCUCAAAAAUGAGGUAUGAUACCACCACCUCAGUUUGGAAAGAGGCCGAUCUAAGAUCACAGGAGAUAAGCAAUAAAAAGCAAUACAAUUUUCUAUCUGAAGACAUAACAGCAUCCCUCAAUCUUGAAAAUGAGUUCCAACGUCUACCGGAACUUCAGACCUCCCACUGUGGCUGGUCUGGAACAGAAAGGGGCUGCCAAUUCUGACUGGGAACCCAGGCUCUCAACUCCAGCCAAAGCUCCACUGCCUGGCAUGAGGAUCCUGGAUUUAUUUAUUUUUUCCUUUUCAGGGCCGCACCUGUGGCAUAUGGACAUUCCUAGACUAGGGGUCGAAUUGGAGCUGCAGCUGCCCACAGUUUGUAGCAACGCAGGAUCCUUGAUCCACUGAGCAAGGCCAGGGAUACUAGUAUGAUUCUUAAACUGUUGAGCCACAAUGGGAACUCAUUUAAUCUCUUUGGACCCCUCGUUUUCUGCAACAUGUAAAGGCUGGAUCUGAGGAUUUUUUUAGUUCCUUCCACCACUGCAUUUCUCUGAUUCGGUAUUUUUCGAAAUAGAAGAUAAAAAGGCGGGGGGGGGGAGCGAGAAAAAGAUAAAUGCCAAAGGUUAAAAUGGUGACAAGUAGGAAGUACUGGCACAGCCAGACCUUCACCUUUCUUGAGACACAGUUCUCUAGUCUGAAUUCUUUUCAGGUUAAGGAUUAGUUCAGCAAUAAAAAUAAAGCCAGUGUCUGCUUCCUCCCUUAAGAGAUGAAAACUGGGCUUCAGUGCGCAAAGAUUUAAGACGUCUGUCUCCAGCCCCAUUCUUACUGAGCACCCUAGACCCUCCGUUUCCUGAAGGCGUCUUCUGAGGACCUCAGGGGCAGGGACUGAGAGGCGCCCGCACAGGCAGGGCACUGAGAAUUGCACAUGUGUGGGGCCACUAAAUGCUGCUUGCUUCAAACCCUAAAGCAAGGGUAUUACAUUUAUAAAACAUGGUAUCUAAUCUACUUUACAGGAUCCUGUCAACUGAGAAUGCAUGACUAGCAGUCUGGUUUUCACUACUGGAGAUUUAUAGCAAAACAUCAUAGACCUUGGAAACUGUGGAUAAUUGAUAGAAAAACUGAUAAGAUAAUUGACAGAAGAACCGAUUUCCGAAUGGCGUUUUUUGCAAUGCUUUGCUAAGUCUUAUUGAGACUUAAUAUACUGAAGAAGCAUAUGUUUUGCAGUCAGAUGACUGUGUACUUGUGCAAAAUCUGGGUCUCAGCUUCCGCAUAUAUAAAAUAAAAUUAACUUGCACUAUGUCAAACAAGCACUUUUUUGGCCGAAAAAACACACACAAAAAACCAAAAAACCCACACUUGCUUUGUGAAGUUUAUGAGAUGAUGAAGGUAGAACAUUUAACAUACUGCUUGGUAGGCUUUCAAUAAAUGGAAGCUAUAAUAUUUUGAUUACUGUUAUUAACAACCUUCAAGGUAUCCACAGAACCAUGAUAAAACAGCCAUGCCUUCCCCACAGAGUCACUAAGUAGCAUCUUAAGAGCUCUUUAAUCAAAGCUCUAAAUAUGUACUCCCUACAUACAGGAAGACAGGAUAAUAAACUUGGAACAUUGCCACGAAAGACACCAUCAUGUUUACUGAAUCUUCUAAACAGCUGUAGUUGAGAACCAGUCUCCAGUAGCCUGAGUAAGGAGACAGCCAAGCCAAGUUCCACUCACCUCUCUUUGGUCUUUCCUGAAGCUUUCAGGAAAAAACAAAACACAGAAGAAUAAGGGAAAUAGAGGAAGUUCCACAACUUCAAAGGAGAAACUCAAUGUCAUUUUGCCCAAACUCAUGUUGAAACAUGAUGGCCACAUGGCUUCCGCAGACAAUGACUCACAUCCAAGAUGUUUUUCUUUUUAUUUUUUGGUCUUUUUAGGGCUGUACCUGCUGCAUAUGAAAGUUCCCAGGUUAAGGGUUGAAUCGGAGCUACAGCUGCCAGCCUACACCAGAGCCACAGCCACACGGGAUCCGAGCCAUGUCUGUGACCUAUACCACAGCUCAUGACAACGCUGGAUCCUUAACCCACUGGGCGAGACCAGGGAUUUAACCCAUGUCCUCAUGGAUACUAGUUGGGUUCGUUACUGCUGAGCCACGACGGGAACUCCCCUAAGACGAUUUUAAUAUAAUUUCCUUCAUCGAGGGUAGGUGGAGCUACAGAACACUGCACAUCAUGCGCAAGUGCAUAGUGCAUUGAGGGUGAGCCACUGAACCUGAGAAGGGAAGCCGAGAUCAACUGUGUCAAAGCCCUAAAAACCAGAGCAUCUGGUGCUCCACAUCACCGGCCUUCCUUGAAAGGCUCCACAUCCAAAGGCAGAAUGCACAACUUGCUGACCUCUCAUGCCUAACAAGGGUAAUGGUCACUUAAAGUGUCAAGGAUCCUGCAGAGAUAACCUAGCUUGGAAUGUAGAAACUCAGGUUUGACAAAGAUCCAGAGGCAGGAACAGAGGAAGCAAAGGCAGGUGAAGUAUAUUUUAUCACUUCUAGAGGAUUCUCUGCCUGUGGUGCAAGGAAGAAUGUUUAAAAGAAAAACCAUUGAGAAGAACUCGGGUAAGAUUUUCUACGUUCAUAAAAUGAAAACUAUGUUACUGGUACUCUGAAAAGCAUCAUUAAAAACUCAAUGAUUGGAGUUCCCAUUGUGGCGCAGUGGAAAUGAACCCGACUAGGAACCAUGAGGUUGCAGGUUCGAUUCCUGGCCUCACUCAGUAGGUUAGGGAUCUGGUGUUGCCAUGAGCUGUGGUGUAGGUCGCAGACACAGCUCGGAUCUGCCAUUGCUGUGGCUCUGGCGUGGGCCAGAUUAGACCCCUGGGAACCUCCAAAUGCUGCGGGUGCGGCCCUAAAAGGACGAAAAGACACACACACACAAAAACUCAAUGCUGGAGUUUCCAUUGUGGUGCAGCAGAAACAAAUCUGACUGGUAUCCUUGGCCUUGCUCAGUGCGUUAAGGAUAUGGCGCUGCCAUGAACUGUGGUGCAGGUCACAGAU
ensembl:lncRNA